UCCCAGAGGAUUUGUCAGCUGACGUGGG
rnacentral:piRNA from 1 species